rnacentral:rRNA from 1 species
GAUGAACGCUGGCGGCGUGCCUAAUACAUGCAAGUCGAGCGAACGGACGAGAAGCUUGCUUCUCUGAUGUUAGCGGCGGACGGGUGAGUAACACGUGGAUAACCUACCUAUAAGACUGGGAUAACUUCGGGAAACCGGAGCUAAUACCGGAUAAUAUUUUGAACCGCAUGGUUCAAAAGUGAAAGACGGUCUUUCUGUCACUUAUAGCUGGAUCCGCGCUUCAUUAGCUAGUUGGUAAGGUAACAGCUUACCAAGGCUACGAUGCAUAGCCGACCUGAGAGGGUGAUCGGCCGCAUUGGAGCUGAGACGCGGUCCAGGCUCCUACGGGAGGCAGCAGAAGGGAAUCUUCCGCAAUGGGCGGAAGCCUGGCGGAGCGGCGCCGCGUGAGUGAUGAAAGUCUUCGGAUCGGAAAACUCUGUUAUUGGGGAAGAACAGAUGUGGAAGGAACUGUGCACAGCGUGACGGUACCGAAUCAGAAAGCCACGGCUAACUACGUG